rnacentral:rRNA from 1 species
UGGGGAAUCUUGGACAAUGGGGGCAACCCUGAUCCAGCCAUGCCGCGUGAGUGAUGAAGGCCUUAGGGUCGUAAAGCUCUUUCGCCUGUGAAGAUAAUGACGGUAGCAGGUAAAGAAACCCCGGCUAACUCCGUGCCAGCAGCCGCGGUAAUACGGAGGGGGCUAGCGUUGUUCGGAAUUACUGGCGUAAAGCGCGCGUAGGCGGACUGAUCAGUCAGGGGUGAAAUCCCGGGGCUCAACCCCGGAACUGCCUUUGAUACUGUCAGUCUUGAGUCCGGAAGAGGCGAGUGGAAUACCGAGUGUAGAGGUGAAAUUCGUAGAUAUUCGGAGGAACACCAGUGGCGAAGGCGGCUCACUGGCUCGAUACUGACGCUGAGGUGCGAAAGUGUGGGGAGCAAACAGGAUUAGAUACCCUGGUAGUCCACGCCGUAAACGAUGUCUGCUAGUCGUUGGGGGCGUAGCCCUUCAGUGACGCCGCUAACGCAUUAAGCAGACCGCCUGGGA